rnacentral:rRNA from 1 species
CCUACGGGAGGCAGCAGUGGGGAAUAUUGCACAAUGGGGGAAACCCUGAUGCAGCGACGCCGCGUGAGUGAAGAAGUAUUUCGGUACGUAAAGCUCUAUCAGCAGGGAAGAAAAUGACGGUACCUGACUAAGAAGCCCCGGCUAACUACGUGCCAGCAGCCGCGGUAAUACGUAGGGGGCAAGCGUUAUCCGGAUUUACUGGGUGUAAAGGGAGCGUAGACGGCAGCGCAAGUCUGGAGUGAAAUCCCAUGGCUUAACCAUGGAACUGCUUUGGAAACUGUGCAGCUAGAGUGCAGGAGAGGUAAGCGGAAUUCCUAGUGUAGCGGUGAAAUGCGUAGAUAUUAGGAGGAACACCAGUAGCGAAGGCGGCUUACUGGACUGUAACUGACGUUGAGGCUCGAAAGCGUGGGGAGCAAACAGGAUUAGAUACCCGGGUAGUC